AUUAUUAAUAAUAGUUAUAUUGGUAGUAUACAUAAUGUGUGAAAUCAAAAGAUUUUGGCGGUAUUUUAAGCUUUUUAGAGGAAUUUGCUCUAUAAUUGAUAUUACACCUACAUCUUACUUAAAUUGGCUAGGUCAGUUUGUAUAUCGCUAUUUUUAUAACUAUAUUGGAUGAUAAUAGUUGAAAUGGAUUUUUUUCUAAAUUUUAGGUCAAGAUGCAGCAUAAAUUUAAGGUUGAAGUGAAUUAUGAUAAUUUUUAUUGGGUAGAAAUGAAAAAAGAUUAAGAUUUAAAAGUAAGAUAGUAUUAUAAUGAUUAUUUGAAUGAAGCUCUAAAAUAUGUAC
rnacentral:rRNA from 1 species